rnacentral:rRNA from 1 species
AUUAGUGGCGAACGGGUGAGUAACACGUGAGUAACCUGCCCUUCACUUUGGGAUAACUCCGAGAAAUCGGGGCUAAUACCUGAUAUGACUACUGGCCGCAUUGUUGGUGGUGGAAAGUUUUUCGGUGAGGGAUGGGCUCGCGGCCUAUCAGUUUGUUGGUGAGGUAGUGGCUUACCAAGGCGAUGACGGGUAGCCGGCCUGAGAGGGCGACCGGCCACACUGGGACUGAGACACGGCCCAG